UUUCCGGUUGAUCCUGCCAGAGGUCACUGCUAUCGGUGUUCGACUAAGCCAUGCGAGUCAAAUGUUCUUCGUGAACAUGGCGUACUGCUCAGUAACACGUGGAUAACCUGCCCUUAGGUCUGGCAUAACCCCGGGAAACUGGGGAUAAUUCCGGAUAGAUCAUCGAUGCUGGAAUGCGCUUUGAUCCAAAGCUAUUGUGCCUAAGGAUGGGUCUGCGGUCUAUCAGGUUGUAGUGGGUGUAAUGUACCUACUAGCCUACGACGGAUACGGGUUGUGGGGGCAAGAGCCCGGAGAUGGAUUCUGAGACAUGAAUCCAGGCCCUACGGGGCGCAGCAGGCGCGAAAACUUUACAAUGCGGGGAACCGCGAUAAGGGGACACCGAGUGCCAGCAUCCUAUGUUGGCUGUCCAUAUGUCUAAAUCACAUGUGUUAGCAAGGGCCGGGCAAGACCGGUGCCAGCCGCCGCGGUAACACCGGCGGCCCGAGUGGUGGCCACUAUUAUUGGGUCUAAAGGGUCCGUAGCCGGUUUGGUCAGUCUUCCGGGAAAUCUGACGGCUCAACCGUUAGGCUUUCGGGGGAUACUACCAGGCUUGGGACCGGGAGAGGUAAGAGGUACUACGGGGGUAGGAGUGAAAUCUUGUAAUCCCUGUGGGACCACCAGUGGCGAAGGCGUCUUACCAGAACGGGUCCGACGGUGAGGGACGAAAGCUGGGGGCACGAACCGGAUUAGAUACCCGGGUAGUCCCAGCUGUAAACUAUGCUCGCUAGGUGUCAGGGACGGUGCGACUGUUUCUGGUGCCGCAGGGAAGCCGUGAAGCGAGCCACCUGGGAAGUACGGUCGCAAGGCUGAAACUUAAAGGAAUUGGCGGGGGAGCACUACAACGGGUGGAGCCUGCGGUUUAAUUGGACUCAACGCCGGA
rnacentral:rRNA from 1 species